CAAUCACUCCCGGGGUUUCCCACCAAUUAAGCUAAUCACACCAAGCAACCAAUUUAGACGGUCAGGUACCUUCCGAGGACGCAGGCUACAGGACGAUUGUUUAGAGUCGUAAAGUCAUCAGCUUAAUCCUAGUGCUUAAGCUGAUGGGUUUCUAAGACAAGCAUAUGGCGUUAAUAAGAUUUUUCAACUUCAAGAAAGUCAAUAAAAGGGAUCACGGUAGCCUUCUCAAACAGAUCAGGCUGGAGAAUGUUGAGGUGCAUAAAUGCACAUAACUGUUGCCAUCCUGGAGGGAUGUGUAUGUAUGUAAAUCGCCUUCCUUGAAGGCUUUGUUUUAAAAAUAUUGAAUUAGCCUAAUCAGUUUAUUACAAGCAGAACCCCGAUGUGGUUAGGUACUUGGAAAACAAAUAGAAGGACUAUGAAUUGAUACCAUUGAAUUUUCCAAGGACUCAGUUGCCGGUCUAUCGAAGUCACUUGACUUGACUUGUGAUAUCGCACAACAUUGCGCGGAUUUUCAGUGCCUUUGAAUUUGGUGAUUGUCGUCAUUAUUAAAAAUAAAGCGGGGAGUCUAUUAAUCAGAUAUUUUCAGUAGACCGAUUGACCAGAUAUUAGCAAUCAAACAAAUUCUGGGGAAAUGUUAGGAAUAUUAUAUUGGUGUCCAUCAAGGUUUCGUUGACUUCAAACAAGCAUACGACAGUAUCGAUCGUCGGGUAACUGUACAAAAUACUGUCUGUCUGAGUUCCAGCGAGACUCAUCAAAAUGACAAUGAGCUAGUCAGGUAUUCAAGUUGGUCCCAACAUGGCCAGUGGAUCUAAAUGGCACAUUACUGUACAAAUCAUCAUGCAUAGUGACCUAUACUAAUGAUAUAGAUAAAUAUCCUAACACGAUCAAAUGGGAACGCAAAGGAAUCCUUGAUGAAGCUGAAGCGAGCCUAAAAGUGAAGAAGAGAAGACCAAAAUCAUGACACAAACCACAAGAAAGGAGGUUACCGGACAAAACGCCAAAUUAAACUAUCACAACUUUGAACAAGUCGACAGUUUUGUGUAUUUAGCCGCAAUUUUCACAAAGCACAACAAUGAAG